UACGUAGGAUGCAAGCGUUGUCCGGAAUUAUUGGGCGUAAAGAGCGCGCAGGCGGUCUAUCAAGUCAGAUGUGAAAUAUCCCGGCUUAACCGGGAGGGUCAUUUGAAACUGGUAGACUAGAGUACAGCAGAGGAUAGUGGAAUUCCCGGUGUAGUGGUGAAAUGCGUAGAUAUCGGGAGGAACACCAGUGGCGAAGGCGACUAUCUGGGCUGAAACUGACGCUGAGGCGACGAAGGCUAGGGGAGCAAACAGG
rnacentral:rRNA from 1 species